rnacentral:ncRNA from 23 species
CCGUUCCGGGCACGUGGUGGACUGCCCAGGCCAUGUACGGCGGCAAGAGAGGAAGCCGGUGCGAAUCCGGCGCGGUCCCGCCACUGUCACCGGGGAAGAACAUCCCGGGAGCCAGGAACUCUCACCGCCGAUUCACGUCGAACC